GAUGAACGCUGGCGGCGUGCCUAAUACAUGCAAGUCGAGCGAACGGACGAGAAGCUUGCUUCUCUGAUGUUAGCGGCGGACGGGUGAGUAACACGUGGAUAACCUACCUAUAAGACUGGGAUAACUUCGGGAAACCGGAGCUAAUACCGGAUAAUAUUUUGAACCGCAUGGUUCAAAAGUGAAAGACGGUCUUGCUGUCACUUAUAGAUGGAUCCGCGCUGCAUUAGCUAGUUGGUAAGGUAACGGCUUACCAAGGCAACGAUGCAUAGCCGACCUGAGAGGGUGAUCGGCCACACUGGAACUGAGACACGGUCCAGACUCCUACGGGAGGCAGCAGUAGGGAAUCUUCCGCAAUGGGCGAAAGCCUGACGGAGCAACGCCGCGUGAGUGAUGAAGGUCUUCGGAUCGUAAAACUCUGUUAUUAGGGAAGAACAUAUGUGUAAGUAACUGUGCACAGAUUGACGGUACCUAAUCAGAAAGCCACGGCUAACUACGUG
rnacentral:rRNA from 1 species